rnacentral:rRNA from 1 species
AUUGAACGCUGGCGGCAGGCCUAACACAUGCAAGUCGAACGAGUGGCGGACGGGUGAGUAAUGUCUGGGACACUGCCUGAUGGAGGGGGAUAACUACUAGAAGCGGUAUCUAAUACCGCAUACUAUCGGAUGUGCCCAGAUGGGAUUAGCUAGUAGGUGGGGUAAGGGCUCACCUAGGCCACGAUCCCUCGCUGGUCUGAGAGGAUGACCAGCCACACUGGAACUGAGACACGGUCCAGACUCCUACGGGAGGCAGCAGUGGGGAAUAUUGCACAAUGGGCGCAAGCCUGAUGCAGCCAUGCCGCGUGUAUGAAGAAGGCCUUCGGGUUGUAAAGUACUUUCAGCGGGGAGGCGUUACCCGCAGAAGAAGCACCGGCUAACUCCGUGCCAACAGCCGCGGUAAUAC